CCUACGGGAGGCUGCAGUGGGGAAUAUUGGUCAAUGGGCGCAAGCCUGAACCAGCAACGCCGCGUGAAGGAAGACGGCUUUCGGGUUGUAAACUUCUUUUGUCCGGGAAGAGUAGGAGUCGGUACCUGACGAAUGAGCCACUGCUAAAUACGUGCCAGCAGCCUCGGUAAUUAGGAGGUGGCAAGCUUUGUCGGGAUUUACUGGGUGUAAAGGGCUUGUAGCGGGGUGGAGAAGUCAGAUGGGAAAUCCUGCGGCUUAACCGACGAACUGCGUUUGAAACUGUUGAUCUUGAGUAGUGGAGAGGUAGAUGGAAUGCGUAGUGUAGCGGUGAAAUGCGUAGAUAUUAGGAAGAACACCAGUUGCGAAGGCAGCCUGCGGGACAGCAACUGACGGUGAGGCGCGAAAGCGUGGGGAGCAAACAGGAUUAGAUACCCGAGUAGUC
rnacentral:rRNA from 1 species